UUUGCCUACGGGACGCAGCAGUGGGGAAUAUUGGGCAAUGGGCGCAAGCCUGACCCAGCAACGCCGCGUGAAGGAAGAAGGCUUUCGGGUUGUAAACUUCUUUUCUUGGGGACGAAGAAAGUGACGGUACCCAAGGAAUAAGCCACGGCUAACUACGUGCCAGCAGCCGCGGUAAUACGUAGGUGGCAAGCGUUAUCCGGAUUUAUUGGGUGUAAAGGGCGUGUAGGCGGGAUUGCAAGUCAGAUGUGAAAACCACG
rnacentral:rRNA from 1 species